CGAAUGCUGGUAAGCCUAUUCCCGAUGGGUGCAAAGGAAAGAUCUUCGUCACGUCAGGUCUUGGUGGCAUGUCGGGUGCUCAGCCCAAGGCUGCAACGAUC
rnacentral:ribozyme from 1 species